rnacentral:lncRNA from 1 species
CAAGCAGUGUCUGCAGCAGCUCUACAACCAUUUCUGAUUAGCCAGCUGCACAUCUCCAGCACUGGUGGAUGUUUUUGCUGAGCACACCCCCAUGGCUGCGCUGAGCCAUCACUGGAAGGGGACCCGGGAGCCCUGCAAAGCACAGUGAGCCGCAGCUAUUGCAAUUUCCAUCAUCAGGUCCCUACAGAAGGAACAUAAGCUAUGGCAGGAGCUCCUCAGUAAGCAAUAAAGAAAGGUUUCCCUUUAAAACUGCUUGUUUCGUAGAGCUGCCAUGGCAGUGUGGGUGCAGGCAGUGUUUUGGGAUCAUUUUGUUGGUUGGCACAAACUGCUUUUGCAAAGACAUUUCAUUUUGCACUCUUUGGCACUUAGGAUUUACCUCUUAUCUCGUGGUUUAAACACAGGCAGGUGUGGAUAGAGCAGCGGAGUCAGUCCAGACUGCACAAGGAGUGAGGAAAUGCACUAUUUUGGUUGUCUGCACAGUUUUUGCACCAGGAAGAACAGCACUUUCCCCACAGGGUGCUGCUCUGUGUAGUGCACAGAACAAUAAGCAGCAAGUUGCAGGGCUUGCAAAACUGACUUAAGUCUUUACAAAGGGUUUAUCUACCUCAGGGGCUCUCAUUGUCUGCUUUCAAAGGGUUCCUCAGUGCCAGACGGAUUCCUGAGUAUGGUUGGUGAGAAAAUAUUAAAAUGGGAUUUGGAAGCUAUCAAUCAUAAUGUGCCUUUAUAGCACAGAGCAAAAGAGAUUUGAAAUGUGGGGGCUAGCUGAUAACAGGCUGCAUUAAAUGCCCAUUUGUUUUGGUCCUGGAGCUGUUUGUGUGCACAAAGCACUGCAGGAUCUCUCUUCUCCUGGGAGCACUGAGCUGGGCCCUGCAGGAUGGCAUCACCUCGGCUGGAAAACCUCCACCUGUGCUUCUGGCAGGGCCUGCACACAGCCUUCCUUUGCUGCCAGAGCCCCAGGCAGAGCAGCAGCAGGCACAGAGCCUGGCACAGAGCCUGCCAGGGCUGGAACUCAGCAGAAAUGCAUCCAGAGAGCAAAGCACGGCGCUGAGUGACGCAGGCAGUG